CCUACGGGGCGCUGCAGUGAGGAAUAUUGGUCAAUGGACGAGAGUCUGAACCAGCCAAGUAGCGUGAAGGAUGACUGCCCUAUGGGUUGUAAACUUCUUUUAUAAAGGAAUAAAACGAGGCACGUGUGCCUUUUUGCAUGUACUUUAUGAAUAAGGAUCGGCUAACUCCGUGCCAGCAGCCGCGGUAAUACGGAGGAUCCGAGCGUUAUCCGGAUUUAUUGGGUUUAAAGGGAGCGUAGAUGGGUUGUUAAGUCAGUUGUGAAAGUUUGCGGCUCAACCGUAAAAUUGCAAUUGAUACUGGCAGUCGUGAGUACAGUUGAGGUAGGCGGAAUUCGUGGUGUAGCGGUGAAAUGCUUAGAUAUCACGAAGAACCCCGAUUGCGAAGGCAGCUUACUAAACUGUGACUGACAUUGAUGCUCGAAAGUGUGGGUAUCAAACAGGAUUAGAUACCCCUGUAGUC
rnacentral:rRNA from 1 species